AUAGCGUAUAUUAAAGUUGUUGCAGUUAAAAAGCUCGUAGUUGAACUUGAAAGUUUCCUGGUUGGGAUUGGCUUGGGUAUUCAGGUCGCAAGGCUUGGAUGCUAUUCCAAACAAGUCAAGUUUCCCAUUUUACCAGGGGCUUUAAUCCUUGUCUGAGGAGCUUGGAUGCACUUUAUUGUUGUGUCCUUGCGAGUCAGAACAUUUUACCUUGAAAAAAUUAGAGUGUUCAAAGCAGGCUCUUUGAGCUUGAAUACAUUAGCAUGGGAUAAUAGAAUAGGACUUUUGGUUCUAUUUUGUUGGUUUUUCAGAACCAGAGUAAUGAUGAAUAGGAACAGUUGGGGGCAUUCAUAUUCGAUCGCUAGAGGUGAAAUUCUUAGAUUGAUCGACGAUGAACUAUUG
rnacentral:rRNA from 1 species